rnacentral:rRNA from 1 species
UACGUAGGGGGCUAGCGUUGUCCGGAUUUAUUGGGCGUAAAGAGCGUGUAGGCGGCCAGGUAGGUCUGCUGUGAAAACUCGAGGCUCAACCUCGAGACGUCGGCGGAAACCAUCUGGCUAGAGUCCGGAAGAGGAGAGUGGAAUUCCUGGUGUAGCGGUGAAAUGCGCAGAUAUCAGGAAGAACACCCGUGGCGAAGGCGGCUCUCUGGGACGGUACUGACGCUGAGACGCGAAAGCGUGGGGAGCGAGCCGG